UCACCUACCCAACUAUAAAACCCCAACAACUAUAUAAGUCCACAAAUAAAGUAGAAAGGUCACAACAAUUUUUUUCUAUUCAAACUCCAAUGCUUCCUCUUUAUUUAAAAAAUGAAGCCACAUGUCCAUUUAUACCUUGUGGAAGCCUCAAAACUCUAUCUUUUAGAGUUGAAAGUAAUCACUACAUUUUCAACUCUCAAAGAUUUUACAACAAUGUUGUUGAUGAUGAAGUAAUAGAGAAUGUGAUUGAAGACUUAUUUUUAAGUGAAACUCGGGCAUGAAAUACUUUUUAUAAAAGCAAACAUCCAGUUAUGUACAUCAAUGGGCCAGGUCAAAAAGUGACCCGGCCCAAAAAGAAAUUAGCCAAAAAAAAAAAAGCAAUAAACAUCAAAAUGGAAAGUCAAGAGACAGAUUAGGACAUUUUUGCUUCUAAGGUUCUUGAAUAUGCUCAAUGUCCAUGGUUCUCCUGUAUGCAGAGUGCUCACCGUCCCUUUGUUUCUGUUGAAAAAGAUGAAUGUCACAUCCCUUUUUUAAAAAAAGAUAUAGAUUUUAAAGUUGGAAAGGGUUUUUUAUUUAUUAAAGUGACAAAAGAUUGAUUUGUUUCGAAAAAGACUUUUUAUAUUUAAAACUCAAAAUCCCCACUUGACAUAAUCCGAUGUGCCAAGUCAUCAUUGGAAAAUCCUUUUCAAAAUGAUUUGACUCUUUAAACUGAUUCGCGAAUAGAGAUUUCGAGUAAGGAAUUUUGUUGACCGGGAGAAGGUGUUAGACACCCCUCGAUCCCGUGGUUCGACCACGGUCGCUUGGCGGAGUAUAUCGGCUAAUUUUGACACUAUGAAUGUACAAACCACAAAGAAGUACGUAAAACAAUCAAACAAACAAACCAAAUAAAAGUGAAUCAAAGUAUAGUGUUCAGUCCAAUUAUACAGUCCCGAAAUAAAUAAAAAUACUAAAAUAAAUCCCAUCUAACCUAUAUUAAUCCUAACUACGCUCCCAGGCUUUACCCGAUGCCUCGGGCCUUGAUCACAAUUCGCCUUCGCCAACAUGAUACAUCGGGGCAUUCCCCGGUGAAUAAAUACAUCAAUCUUCGGGGCAUUCCCCAGCCAAAUGAAUACAUUUCAAUCCGAAAACAUAAAUCAACACAUUUCAACAAAACACUUUCAUCAUUCAACGAUUGCAAGUCCUACUUUUGCCUACCCGAACCUACUCUUUACCUAUCCAAUUCGACCUAUCAUGACACUAUUACAUCAACGACAUUCAAUGAAUCAAAAUAAAUUAACGCUUACUUUUUAUCAAUUUCAAUUCCACCUCCCACUAAUUUCAUUUUUCAUCAAUCAAACCUUCAACGUUACUCCGAUUCAUCCCACAUAUCAACGAAAUCAAAUCGUCAAACACAUAAUUAUAACAUCAUAACACCAACAAAAAUCCAAACUAUCAACACACAUAAUCACAACUAAUUCAAAUAAUCGAAAUAAAGAACAGGGAGACGGGUUAAAGAAAUAGACCUUCCGAUAAUCGACUUUUGUUGAUAAUAAAGAGAUCCGAGGUCGAAAUCUUCAAACAAGGAACCCCAACUCAAACCUCAACGACGAAACCGUAAAAGGCCAAAUCGGCUUUGAGAUUCCGCAAACCAAACUGACUUCGACCAAAACAAACCAAUAAUAUGAAACAAAGACUAAAGAAGACCGGGUAAAGGGGACUCUGAUGAGCUUAGUCGGGUAAGAAGCGACGAAACGAAUCAGGCUCCGAAAAUCUUAAUCUUUCCCGUGGAGUUUCGAUCAGCUAAUGAACUAAAAGACCAAUUCCAGCGCGGACUUGCCCACCUGAAAACUCAACCCGACCUCUCUCUCUCGAAUUUUCACCGUUUCCUCACCAUCUCUCCAUUUCUCUCUAGUGCGUGUGUUGUUUUCUCCUUUGAUCGGAACCCUUCCCUAAAAAGAAAAGAAGACGAAGAUCGUAGUUCCCUCAUGUUGCUAUCAGGAUUAGUGAAGAAGAUGGAGUCUUAGUGUAUUCUCUUUCACUGUAUGUUAAUGAAGAAGAAGAUGUGGGCUUGUGGAGAAGACAUGAAAAGAAGAAAUGAACAGAAAAAAAAAUGGAGUCCCUUUGUGCGUAUGAGAAUUCAACCCAUCGUGAGGAUGAUUGGAAUUGAGAGUGUAUUAUGUGAGUGAGGUAUUCUAAUUGUGAAUGAAAUGUGAGUUGUCCGUGUGAAGAAGAGGAAAAUGGAUAAUUGUUUUUUCAAAAUUCUUCCAUGGGCUCCAUUAUUUGUUUUCUGUAUAUUGUGUAUGGAUGAUAUAGAUGAAAAUGGUCCAGUCCUCCUAAAAAAGUGGAAGAAGGUAUGAGUAUAUGGUCAUCCACAAAAAUCCCUCCCAGUGAAGCUUUUGUAUGUGCGUGUAUACAAUUCUGUGGUGGG
rnacentral:lncRNA from 1 species